UUGUAACUUAGUGGCGGACGGGUGAGUAACGCGUGGAUAACCUGCCGUGUACAGGGGGAUAACACUUAGAAAUAGGUGCUAAUACCGCAUAAGCGCACAACUUCGCAUGAAGGAGUGUGAAAAGCCGAGACGGUACACGAUGGGUCCGCGUCCGAUUAGCCAGUUGGCGGGGUAGAGGCCCACCAAAGCGACGAUCGGUAGCCGGCCUGAGAGGGUGACCGGCCACAUUGGGACUGAGACACGGCCCAAACUCCUACGGAAGGCAGCAG
rnacentral:rRNA from 1 species